rnacentral:rRNA from 1 species
AUUGAACGCUGGCGGAAUGCUUUACACAUGCAAGUCGAGCGGCAGCGCGGGGGCAACCCUGGCGGCGAGCGGCGAACGGGUGAGUAACAUAUCGGAACGUACCCCGUCGUGGGGGAUAACACAGCGAAAGCUGUGCUAAUACCGCAUACGACCUGAGGGUGAAAGCGGGGGAUCGCAAGACCUCGCGCGAUGGGAGCGGCCGAUAUCGGAUUAGCUUGUUGGUGAGGUAAAGGCUCACCAAGGCGACGAUCCGUAGCUGGUCUGAGAGGACGACCAGCCACACUGGAACUGAGACACGGUCCAGACUCCUACGGGAGGCAGCAGUGGGGAAUUUUGGACAAUGGGGGCAACCCUGAUCCAGCCAUUCCGCGUGAGUGAAGAAGGCCUUCGGGUUGGUU